rnacentral:rRNA from 1 species
UACGGAGGGGGCUAGCGUUGUUCGGAAUUACUGGGCGUAAAGCGCACGUAGGCGGCUUUGUAAGUUAGAGGUGAAAGCCCGGAGCUCAACUCCGGAAUUGCCUUUAAGACUGCAUCGCUCGAAUCAUGGAGAGGUGAGUGGAAUUCCGAGUGUAGAGGUGAAAUUCGUAGAUAUUCGGAAGAACACCAGUGGCGAAGGCGACUCACUGGGCAUGUAUUGACGCUGAGGUGCGAAAGCGUGGGGAGCAAACAGG